AUGCUCACUUUGGCAGCACAUAUACUAAAUUGGAAUGAUACAGAGAAGAUUAACAGAGCCCCUGGGAAAAGCUGACAUGCAAAUUCAAGAAGGAUUCUAUAUUUGU
rnacentral:snRNA from 1 species